GACGAACGCUGGCGGCGCGCCUAACACAUGCAAGUCGAACGGAGAUAAGGAGGAGCUUUGCUUCCACCUUAUCUGAGUGGCGGACGGGUGAGUAACGCGUGAGUAACCUGCCUUAAAGAGGGGGGAUAACGUCUGGAAACGGACGCUAAUACCGCAUAACAUACUUGAGUGGGCAUCCACUUGAUAUCGAAAGGAGCAAUCCGCUUGUAAGAUGGGCUCGCGUCCGAUUAGCCAGUUGGCGGGGUAACGGCCCACCAAAGCGACGAUCGGUAGCCGGACUGAGAGGUUGAACGGCCACAUUGGGACUGAGACACGGCCCAG
rnacentral:rRNA from 1 species